rnacentral:tRNA from 1 species
GGGGAGGUAGCAAAAUGGUAAUGCACCUGCUUUGCAAGCAGGCGAUUAGGGGUUCGAGCCCCCUCUUCUCCA